CCCUUAGAUGUUCUGGGCUGCACGCGUGCUACACUGAUAUUGCCAAUAUGUCAUUCUUAUCCGAAAUGGAUUGGGUAAUCAAGUAAUGAAAUUUCAUGCUUGGAAUCGGUAAUUGCAAUUUUAUCGUGAAUGAGGAAUUCCUAGUAAGCACUAGUCAUCAGCUAAUGUUGAUUAUGUCCCUGCCCUUUGUACACACCGCCCGUCGCUACUACUGAUUGGGUGUUCAAGUGAGAUGCUUAGACCCUUGUUGCAUGGUUCAUUAUUGUGCUCCGAAAGGAAAAAGUUUCAAGCUUGAGUGUCUAGAGGAAGUAAAAGUCGUAACA
rnacentral:rRNA from 1 species